rnacentral:piRNA from 1 species
UAGUGAUUAGUGGCUGCCUCAACUGUUC